UGGGGGAUCGUCUAACGGCAGGACGGCAGGCUCUGAACCUGUCUAUCUAGGUUCGAAUCCUAGUCCCCCAG
rfam:Candidatus Schekmanbacteria bacterium RBG_16_38_11 RBG_16_scaffold_28279, whole genome shotgun sequence.